rnacentral:rRNA from 1 species
CCUACGGGUGGCUGCAGUGAGGAAUAUUGGUCAAUGGGCGCGAGCCUGAACCAGCCACGUAGCGUGAAGGAUGACUGCCCUACGGGUUGUAAACUUCUUUUAUAAAGGAAUAAAGUGAGGCACGUGUGCCUUUUUGUAUGUACUUUAUGAAUAAGGAUCGGCUAACUCCGUGCCAGCAGCCGCGGUAAUACGGAGGAUCCGAGCGUUAUCCGGAUUUAUUGGGUUUAAAGGGAGCGUAGAGGGGUUGUUAAGUCAGUUGUGAAAGUUUGCGGCUCAACCGUAAAAGUGCAAUUGAUACUGGCAGUCUUGAGUACAGAUGAGGUAGGUGGAAUUCGAGGUGUAGCGGUGAAAUGCUUAGAUAUAAGGAAGAACUCCGAUGGCGAAGGCAGCUUACUAAACUGCCACUGACAUUGAUGCUCGAAAGUGUGGGUAGCAAACAGGAUUAGAUACCCGAGUAGUC